AAAGCGCACGUAGGCGGACUGGAAAGUCAGAGGUGAAAUCCCAGGGCUCAACCUUGGAACUGCCUUUGAAACUCCCAGUCUUGAGGUCGAGAGAGGUGAGUGGAAUUCCGAGUGUAGAGGUGAAAUUCGUAGAUAUUCGGAGGAACACCAGUGGCGAAGGCGGCUCACUGGCUCGAUACUGACGCUGAGGUGCGAAAGCGUGGGGAGCAAACAGGAUUAGAUACCCGAGU
rnacentral:rRNA from 1 species